GCGCCGAGGGCGCACGGGCUACGGGGAAGGGGCGACCGGCGCGACGUCCGCGGCGGGGCCCGGGAGCCCCGCGCCGCGGGCCGGGGGCCGGGGCCCGAGCUCGAUUCUGCGGCCGCGAGGUAUGGGAACCGGUCCGCCGGGCCAGGCAGCGGUGCUAGGCAGCAGGGGCAGCGACGCCGCCGCCUUUCCCUUCUCCUGCCCCCGUCCCUGCUCCGCCGCGUCCUCGUCCUCGCUGGGUCCCCGCCGCCGCCGCCUCAGCCUCGGCGCUCCUCGGGUUUCUUCUCUCCAUCAAGGCCGGGCCGACCCGCAGGGACCAUCCCGGAAAGUGAGGGGUUGUUGCCGUUUCCCGCAGCUGUUGGUGGCCAUCUUUAAUCCUCCUCCUCCUCCUGCUUUCUCCACCUCCCGCUGGCUGUCUGACUGACUGACUGGAUCCUCCUCUUUCCCCUCCUGCUCCUCCUACUGAGCCGGCCGCAGAAAUUGCAGCCGCUCAGCUUCUACCCCCUCCUGCCUUUCCUUCCUCUUUCCUUACUUCCUUCCCUUCCCUCGGCUUCCCGCUCUUGCCUCACUCUCAGCGGCUGCCUUCGCCCCUGUCUGCAGACAGCGCCGCUGGAUGCUCCCAGCUGGACUUCAACCCCACUCCUCUCAGUCCCUCUCCCCACUGCCUUCCAGACGCGCCUCUUCCCCGCCCCGCGCCCCUCUCUCCUCUCCCACCCCUGCCCCUCUCCGCGGCGCUCACCCUCCUCAGUCCCAGUUUCUGAAAGGACUCAGCUGAGAAAGGACAACUGGGUUCCGCUUUCCUUAACCCUACACCCUUUAGCUGGAUGCUGUCAGAGGCGAUGGAGAAACGCAAAGAAGUUUCAGGAUUUCCUCUAAUAAACAUAAGGCAAGU
rnacentral:lncRNA from 10 species